rnacentral:misc_RNA from 1 species
AGAAAUGUUUCAAACCAGAUGUUCUACAUCAUUUCUCCCAUUGAAACUGAGGGCUUUACACGCAGCCUUUUGUAAUGAAAUUAUCAGUAGUUGUAUUAGCAUGGAGCCUGAUAUGUGACUUACAUAAAGCCCGCCAUACCCUUCACAUUUUUGCUUGUAGUAGCUUAAUUUGUUACCUAGGAGAAAGAGAACAUCUAGUGCUAUCUUUGAAUUUGUCUGCACCUCACAUCUGCAACAAGGUGGCGUAUGUGUGGAGCAUACCAUUUUACCCUCUCCACAUGCUCAAUUGAUACCUCCCAACACAGACCUUCGGAUCUAGCAAUUUCAUCCAUUGAUCUCAAAACAUGUUCAGUCCAUGAGCUCUCCUCUGAGUCCUUCACAUUUCCAUGCACAUGAAGCAUGCCACCCUCAAUCCUGGAGUAGCACUGCCAUUAAAACAGCACAACAAAAAC